AGUGAACGCUGGCGGUAGGCCUAACACAUGCAAGUCGAACGGCAGCACAGUAAGAGCUUGCUCUUACGGGUGGCGAGUGGCGGGCGGGUGAGGAAUACAUCGGAACCUACUUUUUCGUGGGGGAUAACGUAGGGAAGCUUACGCUAAUACCGCAUACGACCUACGGGUGAAAGCAGGGGAUCUUCGGACCUUGCGCGAUUGAAUGAGCCGAUGUCGGAUUAGCUAGUUGGCGGGGUAAAGGCCCACCAAGGCGACGAUCCGUAGCUGGUCUGAGAGGAUGAUCAGCCACACUGGAACUGAGACACGGUCCAGACUCCUACGGGAGGCAGCAGUGGGGAAUAUUGGACAAUGGGCGCAAGCCUGAUCCAGCCAUACCGCGUGGGUGAAGAAGGCCUUCGGGUUGUAAAGCCCUUUUGUUGGGAAAGAAAAGCAGCAGGUUAAUACCCCGCUGUUCUGACGGUACCCAAAGAAUAAGCACCGGCUAACUUCGUG
rnacentral:rRNA from 1 species